UACGAAGGGACCUAGCGUAGUUCGGAAUUACUGGGCGUAAAGCGCGCGUAGGCCGUUGAGUUAGUUAAUUGUGAAAUCCCAAAGCUUAACUUUGGAACUGCAAUUAAAACUGCUCGACUAGAGUUUGAUAGAGGAAAGCGGAAUACAUAGUGUAGAGGUGAAAUUCGUAGAUAUUAUGUAGAACACCAGUUGCGAAGGCGGCUUUCUGGAUCAACACUGACGCUGAGGCGCGAAAGUAUGGGUAGCAAAGAGGAUUAGAUACCCUCGUAGUCCAUACCAUAAACGAUGAUUGCUAGAUGUUGGAAAUUUAUUUUCAGUAUCGCAGCUAACGCAUUAAGCAAUCCGCCUGGGGAGUACGACCGCAAGGUUAAAACUCAAAUGAAUUGACGGGGACCCGCACAAGCGGUGGAGCAUGUGGUUUAAUUCGAAGAUACGCGCAGAACCUUACCAACCCUUGACAUGUCUGUCGCGAGUUUAGGAAACUAGACUUUUCGGUUCGGCCGGACAGAACACAGGUGCUGCAUGGCUGUCGUCAGCUCGUGUCGUGAGAUGUUGGGUUAAGUCCCGCAACGAGCGCAACCCCUACUUUUAGUUGCCAUCAGGUCAUGCUGGGCACUCUGAAAGAACUGCCAGUGAUAAGCUGGAGGAAGGUGGGGAUGACGUCAAGUCCUCAUGGCCCUUACGGGUUGGGCUACACACGUGCUACAAUGGUAGUGACAAUGAGAUGCAAGGUGGCGACGCUAAGCUAAACUCAAAAAUCUACCUCAGUUCGGAUUGCACUCUGCAACUCGAGUGCAUGAAGCUGGAAUCGCUAGUAAUCGUAGAUCAGCGUGCUACGGUGAAUACGUUCCCGGGUCU
rnacentral:rRNA from 1 species